rnacentral:rRNA from 1 species
AGCGAACGCUGGCGGCAGGCCUAACACAUGCAAGUCGAACGAACUCUUCGGAGUUAGUGGCGGACGGGUGAGUAACACGUGGGAACGUGCCUUUAGGUUCGGGAUAACUCAGGGAAACUUGUGCUAAUACCGAAUGUGCCCUUCGGGGGAAAGAUUUAUCGCCUUUAGAGCGGCCCGCGUCUGAUUAGCUAGUUGGUGAGGUAAAGGCUCACCAAGGCGACGAUCAGUAGCUGGUCUGAGAGGAUGAUCAGCCACAUUGGGACUGAGACACGGCCCAAACUCCUACGGGAGGCAGCAGUGGGGAAUCUUGCGCAAUGGGCGAAAGCCUGACGCAGCCAUGCCGCGUGAAUGAUGAAGGUCUUAGGAUUGUAAAAUUCUUUCACCGGGGACGAUAAUGACGGUACCCGGAGAAGAAGCCCCGGCUAACUUCGUG